rnacentral:lncRNA from 1 species
AUGAAAUCCCCCGUUCAACUAGGUCAAAAUAAAAAGCAAUUUACCUUUCCAAAAAACCGCGAACGUUUAUAGACCGUAUUUGUCAUUGCAUUCGUUAGCACUUCUGGGAUAUCGUUUAUCUUAUCGUCGUUACCCAUUUUAUGGAACGUAUAAGUUCAGUGGACUACGUAUUUAUUGACAGUACGUAAUUUUAAGGCAAGUUUUCACUGUGCACGUUGUUCAAAAGAGCAAAGUUGUUUCCAAUGUUAACCCACUGAUGGUGAUAAUGCACACUGGACUAUAUAGAAGGAAUAAAGGAGCAUGCUGGAUACACAUAAACCUUAAGGGUAACACCACAGAGAUUUUUACCGAUCUUUAUGUAUAGAAUGAAAACUUCCCCCCUAAAUCUU